CACGUAGGGGGCAAGCGUUGUCCGGAGUUACUGGGCGUAAAGCGCGCGCAGGCGGUCUUUUAAGUUUGGAGUGACAGUUGGUGGCUUAACUGCCAAAGUGCUUCGAAAACUGAAAGACUUGAGGGCUUCAGAGGGACACGGAAUUCCGGGUGGAGUGGUGAAAUGCGUAGAGAUCCGGAGGAACACCAAAGGCGAAGGCGGCGCCCUGGCUCGCAACUGACGCUCAGACACGACAGCAUGGGGAGCGAACGGG
rnacentral:rRNA from 1 species